rnacentral:rRNA from 1 species
UCCAGACUCCUACGGGAGGCAGCAGUGGGGAAUAUUGCGCAAUGGGCGAAAGCCUGACGCAGCGACGCCGCGUGAGGGAUGAAGGUCUUCGGAUCGUAAACCUCUGUCAGCAGGGAAGAACGGUCACUGUGCUAAUCAGCAGUGAAUUGACGGUACCUGCAAAGGAAGCACCGGCUAACUCCGUGCCAGCAGCCGCGGUAAUACGGAGGAUGCGAGCGUUAUCCGGAUUUAUUGGGUUUAAAGGGUGCGUAGGCGGACGCUUAAGUCAGCGGUAAAAUUGGGGGGCUCAACCUCGUCGAGCCGUUGAAACUGGGUGCCUUGAGUGGGCGAGAAGUACGCGGAAUGCGUGGUGUAGCGGUGAAAUGCAUAGAUAUCACGCAGAACUCCGAUUGCGAAGGCAGCAUACCGGCGCCCAACUGACGCUGAAGCACGAAAGCGUGGGUAUCGAACAGGAUUAGAUACCCUCGUA